UGCAAGUCGAACGGCAGCGGGGGAAAGCUUGCUUUCCUGCCGGCGAGUGGCGAACGGGUGAGUAAUACAUCGGAACGUGCCCUGUAGUGGGGGAUAACUAGUCGAAAGAUUAGCUAAUACCGCAUACGACCUGAGGGUGAAAGUGGGGGACCGCAAGGCCUCAUGCUAUAGGAGCGGCCGAUGUCUGAUUAGCUAGUUGGUGGGGUAAAGGCCUACCAAGGCGACGAUCAGUAGCUGGUCUGAGAGGACGAUCAGCCACACUGGGACUGAGACACGGCCCAGACUCCUACGGGAGGCAGCAGUGGGGAAUUUUGGACAAUGGGCGAAAGCCUGAUCCAGCAAUGCCGCGUGUGUGAAGAAGGCCUUCGGGUUGUAAAGCACUUUUGUCCGGAAAGAAAUGGCUCUGGUUAAUACCCGGAGUUGAUGACGGUACCGGAAGAAUAAGGACCGGCUAACUACGUGCCAGCA
rnacentral:rRNA from 1 species